GAUGAACGCUGGCGGCGUGCCUAAUACAUGCGAGUCGAGCGAACAGACGAGGAGCUUGCUCCUCUGACGUUAGCGGCGGACGGGUGAGUAACACGUGGAUAACCUUCCUAUAAGACUGGGAUAACUUCGGGAAACCGGAGCUAAUACCGGAUAAUAUAUUGAACCGCAUGGUUCAAUAGUGAAAGACGGUUUUGCUGUCACUUAUAGAUGGAUCCGCGCCGCAUUAGCUAGUUGGUAAGGUAACGGCUUACCAAGGCGACGAUGCGUAGCCGACCUGAGAGGGUGAUCGGCCACACUGGAACUGAGACACGGUCCAGACUCCUACGGGAGGCAGCAGUAGGGAAUCUUCCGCAAUGGGCGAAAGCCUGACGGAGCAACGCCGCGUGAGUGAUGAAGGUCUUCGGAUCGUAAAACUCUGUUAUUAGGGAAGAACAAAUGUGUAAGUAACUAUGCACGUCUUGACGGUACCUAAUCAGAAAGCCACGGCUAACUACGUG
rnacentral:rRNA from 1 species